rnacentral:tRNA from 1 species
GGGCCCGUAGCUCAGCCAGGUUUAGAGCGGCGGCCUUCGGAGCCGUAGGUCGUGGGUUCAAAUCCCACCGGGCCCGCCA